AGCGAACGCUGGCGGCAGGCCUAACACAUGCAAGUCGAACGAACCCUUCGGGGUUAGUGGCGGACGGGUGAGUAACACGUGGGAACGUGCCUUUAGGUUCGGACUAACUCAGGGAAACUUGUGCUAAUACCGAAUGUGCCCUUCGGGGGAAAGAUUUAUCGCCUUUAGAGCGGCCCGCGUCUGAUUAGCUAGUUGGUGAGGUAAUGGCUCACCAAGGCUACGAUCAGUAGAUGGUCUGAGAGGAUGACCAGCCACAUUGGGACUGGGACACGGCCCAAACUCCUACGGGAGGCAGCAGUGGGGAAUCUUGCGCAAUGGGCGAAAGCCUGACGCAGCCAUGCCGCGUGGAUGAUGAAGGUCUUAGGAUUGUAAAAUCCUUUCACCGGUGAAGAUAAUGACUGUAGCCGGAGAAGAAGCCCCGGCUAACUUCGUGCCAGCCGCCGCAGUAACAC
rnacentral:rRNA from 1 species